GACGAACGCUGGCGGCGUGCCUAAUACAUGCAAGUAGAACGCUGAGGUUUGGUGUUUACACUAGACUGAUGAGUUGCGAACGGGUGAGUAACGCGUAGGUAACCUGCCUCAUAGCGGGGGAUAACUAUUGGAAACGAUAGCUAAUACCGCAUAAGAGUAAUUAACACAUGUUGGUUAUUUAAAAGGAGCAAUUGCUUCACUGUGAGAUGGACCUGCGUUGUAUUAGCUAGUUGGUGAGGUAAAGGCUCACCAAGGCGACGAUACAUAGCCGACCUGAGAGGGUGAUCGGCCACACUGGGACUGAGACACGGCCCAGACUCCUACGGGAGGCAGCAGUAGGGAAUCUUCGGCAAUGGACGGAAGUCUGACCGAGCAACGCCGCGUGAGUGAAGAAGGUUUUCGGAUCGUAAAGCUCUGUUGUUAGAGAAGAACGUUGGUAGGAGUGGAAAAUCUACCAAGUGACGGUAACUAACCAGAAAGGGACGGCUAACUACGUGCCAGCAGCCGCGGUAAUACGUAGGUCCCGAGCGUUGUCCGGAUUUAUUGGGCGUAAAGCGAGCGCAGGCGGUUCUUUAAGUCUGAAGUUAAAGGCAGUGGCUUAACCAUUGUACGCUUUGGAAACUGGAGGACUUGAGUGCAGAAGGGGAGAGUGGAAUUCCACGUGUAGCGGUGAAAUGCGUAGAUAUAUGGAGGAACACCGGUGGCGAAAGCGGCUCUCUGGUCUGUAACUGACGCUGAGGCUCGAAAGCGUGGGGAGCAAACGGGAUUAGAUACCCUGGUAGUCCACGCCGUAAACGAUGAGUGCUAGGUGUUAGGCCCUUUCCGGGGCUUAGUGCCGCAGCUAACGCAUUAAGCACUCCGCCUGGGGAGUACGACCGCAAGGUUGAAACUCAAAGGAAUUGACGGGGGCCCGCACAAGCGGUGGAGCAUGUGGUUUAAUUCGAAGCAACGCGAAGAACCUUACCAGGUCUUGACAUCCUUCUGACCGGCCUAGAGAUAGGCUUUCUCUUCGGAGCAGAAGUGACAGGUGGUGCAUGGUUGUCGUCAGCUCGUGUCGUGAGAUGUUGGGUUAAGUCCCGCAACGAGCGCAACCCCUAUUGUUAGUUGCCAUCAUUAAGUUGGGCACUCUAGCGAGACUGCCGGUAAUAAACCGGAGGAAGGUGGGGAUGACGUCAAAUCAUCAUGCCCCUUAUGACCUGGGCUACACACGUGCUACAAUGGUUGGUACAACGAGUCGCAAGCCGGUGACGGCAAGCUAAUCUCUUAAAGCCAAUCUCAGUUCGGAUUGUAGGCUGCAACUCGCCUACAUGAAGUCGGAAUCGCUAGUAAUCGCGGAUCAGCACGCCGCGGUGAAUACGUUCCCGGGCCU
rnacentral:rRNA from 1 species